rnacentral:rRNA from 1 species
UGGGGAAUAUUGCACAAUGGGCGCAAGCCUGAUGCAGCCAUGCCGCGUGUAUGAAGAAGGCUUUCGGGUUGUAAAGUACUUUCAGCGGGGAGGAAGGGAGUAAAGUUAAUACCUUUGCUCAUUGACGUUACCCGCAGAAGAAGCACCGGCUAACUCCGUGCCAGCAGCCGCGGUAAUACGGAGGGUGCAAGCGUUAAUCGGAAUUACUGGGCGUAAAGCGCACGCAGGCGGUUUGUUAAGUCAGAUGUGAAAUCCCCGGGCUCAACCUGGGAACUGCAUCUGAUACUGGGAAGCUUGAGUCUCGUAGAGGGGGGUAGAAUUCCAGGUGUAGCGGUGAAAUGCGUAGAGAUCUGGAGGAAUACCGGUGGCGAAGGCGGCCCCCUGGAAGAAGACUGACGCUCAGGUGCGAAAGCGUGGGGAGCAAACAGG